rnacentral:rRNA from 1 species
GUCAUUGAAGAACUGUUAGACGAGUUGCAUGGUGCCUGUUGGUUCUCCAAACUAGAUCUGCAGGCAGGUUACCACCAAAUCAGGCUCGCUGAGGGGGAGGAGUACAAGACAGCAUUUCACACACACUCGGGCCAUUAUGAAUUCCGCGUGGUCUCUUUCGGGCUGGCAGGGGGACCGGGGACAUUCAACGGUGCGGUCACCAAUACCUUGCACCCCUUUCUACGCCACUGCGUACUGCUAUUCUUCGACGACAUCUUGGUCUUCAGCCGUACUCUACGCGACCAUAUCAAGCAUCUACGGCAAGUCCUCGAACUACUCCGCAGAGACCAGUGGAAGGUUAAAUUCAGCAAGUGUGCCUUCGGCCAA